UACGUAGGGGGCAAGCGUUGUCCGGAAUCAUUGGGCGUAAAGCGCGUGUAGGCGGUUCGAUAAGUCUGCUGUGAAAGUCCAGGGCUCAACCCUGGGAUGCCGGUGGAUACUGUCGGGCUAGAGUGCGGAAGAGGCGAGUGGAAUUCCUGGUGUAGCGGUGGAAUGCGCAGAUAUCAGGAGGAAUACCCAUAGCGAAGGCAGCUCGCUGGGACGUUACUGACGCUGAGGCGCGAAAGCGUGGGGAGCGAACAGG
rnacentral:rRNA from 1 species